CAAAAGAGUGAAAACUCGCCAAAACCCACUGUAAACUAUAUCUUUGUUGCUUCGGCAGGCGGCCCCAGGGCGGGGCCUCCAGGCCUUUUUGGUGCCUGCCGAUGGCAUUUUAAACUCUUGUUUAUCUUGCUACUCUGAGUCAAAUACAAAAUAAAUCA
rnacentral:misc_RNA from 1 species